rnacentral:lncRNA from 10 species
CAAUAUUCACUUGUACUAGUGCCACGGAAUUUCGUGUUGACUUCAAUAAAGGAAAACACUCUGCCUCGCAUGGUUUCUUCAGAAAAGCCCUGUGGAAUCUACCUGUUGAAAUAAGCACGUCUAGCUGCUUCUACAACUUUAAUUACUAAAAAAAGAAAAGAUCCAAUGCAACACUGAGAAAUGUUAUAUAUUUUUUAAAAUGACUGCUUCUUAUGAGAAAAGAUAAUGUUGC